AAGAGUGAUAGUGGGUCACCUUGGUGUAACCCAAUGCUCAAUGAAAAUUCUUCAAAGGGUGAACCAUUUAAAAGAAUACUCACUCUAGCCUUGGAGAUACGUUUUAAAAUCCAGGGUUACCACUUUUGACCAAAACCCAUGUCAAUUAUGGUUCGGUCAAGGUGAGGCCAAAUCACCUAAUCAAAUGCCUUCUCAAAGUCAAUCUUGCAAAGGAAACAACUAUGUCUUCUUUAUGAAAGUCAAUAAUUUCUGAUGCUAUUAGAAGGCAACCCAAGACUUGUCUACCACUAAUAAAUGCACUCUGAUAAU
rnacentral:misc_RNA from 1 species